AUUGAACGCUAGCGGGAUGCCUUACACAUGCAAGUCGAACGGAGUGGCGAACGGGUGAGUAAUGUAUAGGAACGUGAAAAUUAGCGGGGGAUAACUACAAGAAAUCGAAACUAAUGCUGCAUACUAUUGGCGAGGCCGAUAUCGGAUUAGCUAGUGGGUGGGGUAACGGCUCACCAAGGCGACGAUCCGUAGCUGGUUUGAGAGGACGACCAGCCACACUGGGACUGAGACACGGCCCAGACUCCUACGGGAGGCAGCAGUGGGGAAUAUUGCACAAUGGGCGAAACCCUGAUCCAGCCAUGCCGCGUGUAUGAAGAAGGCCUUCGGGUUGUAAAGCACUUUUAGCAGGAAAGCGGUACCUGCAGAAGAAGCACCGGCUAACUACGUGCCAGCAGCCGCGGUAAUAC
rnacentral:rRNA from 1 species